rnacentral:rRNA from 1 species
AAUAUUCCCGUACUUGGUGUUACUGCGAAGGGGGGACGGAGAAGGCUAUGUUGGCCGGGCGACGGUUGUCCCGGUUUAAGCGUGUAGGUGUGUGUUCCAGGUAAAUCCGGUUCACUUUAACACUGAGGCGUGACGACGAGGCACUACGGUGCUGAAGCAACAAAUGCCCUGCUUCCAGGAAAAGCCUCUAAGCAUCAGGUAACACGAAAUCGUACCCCAAACCGACACAGGUGGUCAGGUAGAGAAUACCAAGGCGCUUGAGAGAACUCGGGUGAAGGAACUAGGCAAAAUGGUGCCGUAACUUCGGGAGAAGGCACGCUGACACGUAGGUGAAGUGAUUUACUCAUGGAGCUGAAGUCAGUCGAAGAUACCAGCUGGCUGCAACUGUUUAUUAAAAACACAGCACUGUGCAAACACGAAAGUGGACGUAUACGGUGUGACGCCUGCCCGGUGCCGGAAGGUUAAUUGAUGGGGUCAGCGUAAGCGAAGCUCCUGAUCGAAGCCCCGGUAAACGGCGGCCGUAACUAUAACGGUCCUAAGGUAGCGAAAUUCCUUGUCGGGUAAGUUCCGACCUGCACGAAUGGCGUAAUGAUGGCCAGGCUGUCUCCACCCGAGACUCAGUGAAAUUGAACUCGCUGUGAAGAUGCAGUGUACCCGCGGCAAGACGGAAAGACCCCGUGAACCUUUACUAUAGCUUGACACUGAACAUUGAGCCUUGAUGUGUAGGAUAGGUGGGAGGCUUUGAAGUGUGGACGCCAGUCUGCAUGGAGCCGACCUUGAAAUACCACCCUUUAAUGUUUGAUGUUCUAACGUGGACCCGUAAUCCGGGUUGCGGACAGUGUCUGGUGGGUAGUUUGACUGGGGCGGUCUCCUCCUAAAGAGUAACGGAGGAGCACGAAGGUUGGCUAAUCCUGGUCGGACAUCAGGAGGUUAGUGCAAUGGCAUAAGCCAGCUUGACUGCGAGCGUGACGGCGCGAGCAGGUGCGAAAGCAGGUCAUAGUGAUCCGGUGGUUCUGAAUGGAAGGGCCAUCGCUCAACGGAUAAAAGGUACUCCGGGGAUAACAGGCUGAUACCGCCCAAGAGUUCAUAUCGACGGCGGUGUUUGGCACCUCGAUGUCGGCUCAUCACAUCCUGGGGCUGAAGUAGGUCCCAAGGGUAUGGCUGUUCGCCAUUUAAAGUGGUACGCGAGCUGGGUUUAGAACGUCGUGAGACAGUUCGGUCCCUAUCUGCCGUGGGCGCUGGAGAACUGAGGGGGGCUGCUCCUAGUACGAGAGGACCGGAGUGGACGCAUCACUGGUGUUCGGGUUGUCAUGCCAAUGGCACUGCCCGGUAGCUAAAUGCGGAAGAGAUAAGUGCUGAAAGCAUCUAAGCACGAAACUUGCCCCGA